CAGACAUAUCCAAAAUAAAAGCGCGCCACCACUGUCCACUAAAUUUUUAGUUCUUUUCUUUCACUCUAUUGAAAGAACCCUAAGCCCCAAAUUGCAAAAUAAGGAUGGCCGUAACUCGCUGUAAAUCAUUGUUGAUUUCGUUCGUCUUUGCCUCAAUAAUAGCAACGAGAUCCGAAUCUUAUCAUCUCCAGAAGCGCUUCAAUUAUUGGAAUUUAGCUUAGGUUAUCUUCUUCAGUUGGAUUCCUGGUUAUUUUUCUCUCUCUGCAGUAACCCUUAUUAUCAAUUUCUCAUUCCUGGUAUUUGCUCAGCAUCGGAUUUUGUUGCUAAAAAUCCUUGGUAUAUUAUUGAAGAUUCUAUAUCUAGGGACGCCCAAGAUGGGAAAGAGAUUAAGCCAAGCCGAAAAUCGCUAACGCCUUCCUCUCGAUCUCAAAAUUAGUCUUUAUCCUCUCAAGUCAGUUAUGCAAAGUUGGGGCAUUGGACCCUAAGAAGGUAAAGGGAACUAUUUUAGUUUGUCUAAGAGGAGAUAAUGCAAAGGUUGACAAGGGACAGCAAGCUGCUUUGGCAUGUGCACAGUUGGAAUGGUUCUACCCAACGAUUAUGCAUCUGGCGAUGAAAUUAUUGUUGAUCCUCACGUCUUACCUGCUACGCAAAUUAGUUACACUGAUGGACUUGAACUCUUCGCUUAUGUUAAUUCAACAAGUACACCUACAGCUUCCAUUACACAUCCAACGACUCAAUUGGGAACAAAGCCAGCUCCAGUCAUGGAAGCCUUUUCAUCAAUAGGACCUAACACUGUUACACCAGAGAUCCUUAAGGUUUUACACUGGUUCAUGAUUUUUUCACUAAAGUGACAUGACUUCUUCCCUUAACAGAUCAGGAACUUGAAGUCUGAAGAAGCUAUGCUUGAAGAAUGUGUGGAGCAAGUUGAAGCACAAUAUAGUUUUUGUUCAGUUAGCAGUGAUUUAAAGAUUUUGUCAUUUGUACAUCGUGCUACAGUUCUAGUGUCUGUUUUUAGGAGUUGAUAAAAAUAGUUUCAUGCAAUUUGGAUGGUUAUAUUUAUAGACAUUGUGAUCCUUCGGUUCUUUGUAAUGAAAAAUGAAAUUUUGUUGAGUAUGAA